rnacentral:rRNA from 1 species
UACGGGGGGCAAGCGUUGUUCGGAAUUACUGGCGUAAAGGGUUCGUAGGUGGCCAACUAAGCCAGACGUGAAAUCCCUCAGCUUAACUGGGAACUGCGUCUGGGACUGGAUGGCUUGAGUGCAGGAGAGGAACGCGGAAUUCCAGGUGUAGCGGUGAAAUGCGUAGAUAUCUGAGGAACACCGGUGGCGAAGGCGGCGUUCUGGACUGCAACUGACACUGAGGAACGAAGCCAGGGAGCA